UUUUUUUUCUUUUGACAACUUUUGUCCGUGCUAAAUUCUUUCUAUUAAAUUAUUUUGUAAAUAUUUGGAAGUGUAAAAUAUGAUGUAUGAUAUAUGGUAAUUUUUUAAUAAUUUUUGAAAUAUAAAUUUAAUAAAUUUAGUGGAUUUAAAUAACAUAUCUAUAGUAUAUUCUUUUGUGUUUAUAAUAUUUUGUAACAAUGAUAUAUCUUAUAUCUUAGAAAUAAAGUAAAAAAUAUAAGAAUAUUCAAUUUUUGAUUUGUUUUAAAUUUAGAUGCCUUUAAAAUAAGGUAUAUUCUUAGAAAAUAUAGGGAAAUUAUGAUUGAUUUAUUUUUGAAAGGUUAAUUGUUACAAAUUAAUUACAAUGAUAAGAAUAUACAAUGACAAUUUCAAGCAUUUUUGAAAUUAUAUUAAAUGUUUACAAUAUAUAUAUAUAUAUAUGUAAGUUUGUUAUAAUGCUGUGAUAAAUAUGAUGACUCAUUUUUACCAAAAAAAAAAAAUGAUGACUCAUUUAGAUAGUAUAUGUCUAAACAUUAGAUAGAGAGUAAUUUUUGAUCAAAAAAAAAAAAGAUAGAGAGUAAUUUAUGAAUUAUGAUGUCUAAAUCAAUCAAUGUGGGACAUUGGAUAGAGAGUAAUUUAUGAAUUAUGAUGUCUAUUUUCCUUAGUUCGACGCUCUGUUUGUUUAAAUUUUUUUGUUUAAAAGGAAUGGCAAAGUGGUAAAUACGUUUGUCUUUGUCUUCCUCAAUCAAUUUUAAGGAUUAUAGAUUUUUGCAGACCCACCGCAAAGUUCUUCAACCCAGUAUUUCCUUCUGCUUCUUGAAAUGAAUUGUAGACGCCAUAAUUUGAUAAUCCACCGGCCGAAGUUACAUCAGGUGUGAAAAUAAGAGCCGGAUUAAGCUUUCGAUCAGCUUCUCUUGUUGAAUCUCUCCGAUCACCGUAUUAGCGGACGCUAAUCGGUAAACUGGGGGCGUUCUAGAACCUAUAACCAAACGUAUGUACAUAUUUAAAAGGUUAAUAAACCAUUUUUGUUUCACCAGAAAAAACAAUUAUGUAGUCCUUCCGUUUUUUUAAUAGAAGUCGUUUUAGAAUUGUCCACAUAUAUGAAAUCAUUGAUUUUUUAUAUUUUCUAAACAAAAACACCAUUAAUUAUUUAUCUAACCACAAAUCAACUAAUAAUAAAAUAGAAGGUAUAUUAUCAUUGGUCAUAUAAUAUUAAGUGUUAAUAAAUUUUACAUAGAAAACCGAAAACGUCAUAUAAUUUGAAACAUAAAAAUUUUUCUAAAACGACUUAUAUAAAAAACGGAGGGAGUAUUGAAUGUAUUCUAGAUUUCAGGUGGUUAUCGAAAGUGGUCAUAGAAGGUGGUUACAUUCGGUCAUUAAAUUUCGUUGCAGUUAACAUAUAAAAAAAAUAUGUAUUGUUGAAAUAAUUGUUGGAUCCUACUUUUAUCAAUGGGUCACACUGUUGUUUAGAAUAGAUAGAUAAUUUUGUUCUCUCCUAUUCCAAUUCGAUGUCUAGCAUGAUUAGGUAGGGGACCUUUGUUUUGAUUAACCUUGUUAAUCUUCUGUAACGUAUCAGUAGAGAUCCAAAACUUGCUAGUGGAUCUUUCUGAUCAUCUCUUUAGUAGAAUAUAUCUUUGGUUUACAUACUUCAUAAGGAUCUUGUCCCGAAGAACAUUAUAGUGUGUUGGAACUUGAAAGUAAUAAAACAAUUUAUUUGAUUUAUGUGUUUUCAUAUCUAUGGUUUGCGUUUGUUUUAUAGUGCUGUAAUGAAAAUUACUCGAUCGAUUUCUAUGCUUUCUAUCAUUUCCACAAUUGUGGGCACUUUAAAUAAAAAACGAAAAAGACUUUUCCAUCUAUGGUUUCGAGAUUGUUUGUUGCCUUUGUUAACACAAUGACCUUUGAUGUUUCAGAGACAAAAGGCGAGCCCGAAUAAGUGGCUGCAAUCACUUUUCCGAAGGAUCAAUGAUACAAAGAUAUUCUAUUAUACAAAAAACUACAAAUGUUCAUGUGUAUGAUUUUCUCUUAUACAUGUAUGAUCACUUUAUUAUGUUUCUGAUAAUUCGCCUCACUCUCAGUUCUGUUUGCUUUCUUUCUUUACUUCAGAGCAUCUGCAGCAUCGAAAAUCCAAGUUGGAAGUUCAGUUAGCUUAAAAAAUGCGUGUCUGGCCUCUCGGAAAGAGUAUCAUAACCACUCACUAAGAUCUUGAUCUUGAUAGUGUAAACAAGUACUUGAGCAAACUUGGAUACAAUAUGGAGUUGAUUCACUCUUACUUGAUAUGCAUUGCGUGCUAUGAUUGAUUUCUCCUUCUAUGUUUCAGUUUUUCUAAAUAGGAUAUCGAGGAUGUUAUUGUAAUCAAAAAACUAUGGAAAAUCUUUGGGUAUCACUGCUAAGACAAGGUAAGUUUAAGUCGCCACUGUCAGGGAAGUCUACUCCAUGCAGAGAUGGCAGAGAUGGUGACAGAGCUGUUCAGUGUUUCGAAAAUAACCACUGAACAUCAUUUUAAGUCUGAGAAGAAUGAAUCUACAAUAUACCUCUGUAUCUGAUACUAAAUUGAAGUCAUCCAAGUUAAGCAGCUCGACAGGUUUGCAUCACGCUGCAUCAACAUACUCUGUUUCUCCACUAGCUCCUCAUGUCUUUACUUCAGAAUCAUUGCUUUAACUUUUUAACAGGUACAUAAAGUAAUUAAUGUUUCAGAAACUACUUCGAUCGGAUUCUUUUAUGCAUCUCCACUUGAAUUCUCCUCCUUUUCAGUUUGACCCAUUACAUCAAAAACAGCUCCAGGUGAAUCAUCCAUUCUUUCUUCAUUAGUCACAUGAACCGUGAUCUCUUCCAUGGUUACAUCUGAGCUUUGAUACACAUAUAAAAAUGAAAAAUACUCGUGCAUAUAUCUAUAAAAAUAAAAAUAUCCGCGCAUGAUAUAUAUAGUAUAAGGUUAAUGUAGGGAUUAUUGAAUUAUAAGAGUAUCAUUUCCAACUAUAUAAUAACUAUACAUAUUUAUGUGUAUAUGCGCUGCAAUUACUCUUUGGAUAAUUCUCUUUAAUAGCCGUAUUUAAAUUUUUGUCCCAAAACUAGUUCUCUCUGGGUGAAAAUCAGAAAUAUAGCAUUUACUGAUUUCUCUCGAAAACGACGACGAUAAGGAUCUUUCUACUCGAAAUCGACGACGCCGGAGACAGCAAUGUAAUCGUCGUGAAUCUCACCAUUGACAAUGGUCACACUCGAUUGUAAGAUCGAGACCGAGAAUUCCCAACCCGGAUCCAGAACGUUGAAAAGAUGUAGCUGAGAUUCGAGAAGCAGAAGACGCGAGAGGAAAUGCAUCUCGGAGGAGAGUUGGGAGUAGGUGAAGCUGAAGGAGCUGUUGGCCACGGAGAACGACGGGACUUUGACGUUUGUGACGGAGAUCUCAGAUCUCUUGAUCUAAAGACGGUGAGGUAAACGUUGAUUGUUCUUAGUUUCGUAGUUUUUUUUUUCUUUUUAUUGACGAGCAUGGGAUGGGACAUUUUGUGAUUUUGGUUUUAAAAUUUGUUGACAUUCAUUGAGUUGAUGAUGAGACUGUGGAAGUGUGAACUGAAUUUUGGUCUCUUCACUGCCGAGGGGUAUAGUACGGUGGAUCCAUCACGCCAAGAGUCACCGUGAGAUGCUGCGCAAAAGAGUCUCCAACAAAAUUGAAAAACUUUUUGCUUAGUGUCUUCUUAUUUGGUUUACGCAUGUUGAUAUCUUUGGUAGGUUCAUGAAUUUGCUAAUGAUAUUGUUACUAUCUUGCUUGUGUUUGUGAAAUUAUGUAGUCUUUUUUAAAUUUCAAGAAGGAUUUGUAUAGUUUCAGGAAAGCUUUCCAGAAAAAUCUGAUGUUAACAAAUUUGAAAAACUUUUUGCUUGGUGUCUUCUUGUUUGGCUUACGCAUGUUGAUAUUUUUGGUAGGCUCGUGAAUUUGCUAAUGAUUUUGUUAGUCUCUUGCUUGUGCUUGUGAAAUUGUGUAGUGUUUUUUUUAAAUUUCAGGAAGGGUUUGUCUAGUUUCAAGAAAAUUUUCCAGAAAAAUUCGAUGUUAACAAAUUUGAAAAACUUUUUGCUUGGUGUCUUCUUGUUUGGCUUCCCAUGUUGAUAUCUUUGGUAGGCUCGUGAAUUUGCUAAUGACAUUGUUAGUUUCUUGCUUGUGCUUGUGAAAUUGUGUAGUGUUUUUUAAAUUUCUGGAAGGAUUUGUGUAAUUUCAGGAAAGCUUUUCAGAAAAUUCGAUGUUAACAAAUUUGAAAAACUUUUUGCUUGGUGUCUUCUUGUGUGGCUUACGCAUGUUGAUAUCUUUGGUAGACUCAGGAAUUUUCUAAUGACAUUGUUAGUCUCUUGCUUGUGCUUGUGAAAUUGUGUAGUGUUUUUUAAAUUUCAGGAAGGAUUUGUGUAGUUUUAGGAAAAUUUUCCAGAAAAAUUCGAUGUUAAAUCAGGAAGGCUAUCUUGAUUAUGUACAAAAGCUUCCAAAAAGUUUUGGUAUAUGCUCAUGCACAUAUUUCUUCUUGCA